rnacentral:rRNA from 1 species
CAAUAGCGUAUAUUUAAGUUGUUGCAGUUAAAAAGCUCGUAGUUGGAUUUUGGGUCGGGGCGUCCGGUCCGCCGUUCCGGUGUGCACUUGGUGCUCCUUCCUUUCUGCCGUUUUGCGCGUGGUGUCUUCACUGCCAUCGCGUGUGGGUCGGCGUUGUUACUUUGAAAAAAUUAGAGUGUUCAAAGCAAGCCAUCGCUCUGAAUACAUUAGCAUGGAAUAACAUGAUAGGACUCCGCUCUUAUUUUGUUGGUUUCCGAGACUGGAGUAAUGAUUAAGAGGGACAGUCGGGGGCAUCCGUAUUUCAUUGUCAGAGGUGAAAUUCUUGGAUUUAUGAAAGACGAACUUCUGCGAAAGCAUUUGCCAAGGAUGUUUUCAUUAA